rnacentral:rRNA from 1 species
CGAUUCUGGCUCAGGAUGAACGCUAGCUACAGGCUUAACACAUGCAAGUCGAGGGGCAGCAUGAUCAAAGCUUGCUUGAUGAUGGCGACCGGCGCACGGGUGAGUAACGCGUAUCCAACCUUCCCUAUAGUAGUGGAUAGCCCGGCGAAAGUCGGAUUAAUACACUAUGUUAUUCAACGAGGACAUCUGAAAUGAAUCAAAGGCUUGCCGCUAUAGGAUGGGGAUGCGUCUGAUUAGAUAGUAGGCGGGGUAACGGCCCACCUAGUCGACGAUCAGUAGGGGUUCUGAGAGGAAGGUCCCCCACAUUGGAACUGAGGCACGGUCCAAACUCCUACGGGAGGCAGCAGUGAGGAAUAUUGGUCAAUGGACGGGAGUCUGAACCAGCCAAGUAGCCGUGCAGGAUGACGGCCCUAUGGGUUGUAAGCUGCUUUUAUACGGGGAUAAAGUGAGCCACGUGUGGCUUUUUGUAGGUACCGUAUGAAUAAGGACCGGCUAAUUCCGUGCCAGCCGCGGC